UAUACCCACCAUAUCUGUGGAAGGUACCCACUUUUUGGUUUUCCACCAAUGUGGGUGAAACCCCCUGGUGUUAUAUUCCCCCCUUUGGUGGAAAAUACCCACCAUCAAUGUGUAAUAAUUACACUCAUAAUAAUAAUGUAAUAAUUAAUCUAGUAAUGCCACGCCCACUGCGCAUGCGCAGUUCAGUUCCAAAUUAAUCCAGCUGCAAAUGGCUUCCUUCUCUUUGUCCUCCAUUACUGCUAGUCUAUUUUUUGGUCGUUUAGCUCUUAGUUUUGUCUCUGUAUUCUUUGAAAUCCCCAGAAAAUUAUCUCAUUUUCGAAGCCCGCUUCCAUGUCAGCAGCUAUUUCUGUGACUCUUCCUUCAGGCUGUCCCCUUAGGCUAUGAUUUGUGUCUAGACUGAUUGAACUACCAAUAGCUGUGUUCAAAAUGGAUCGCGUCCAUACAAGACUUGCUUAUUGAUUUUGUUUUGAUGUGUAUAGGUUUUAGCUUCUUUUCAAGUGAAUUGUAUCUGAUUACAUCAUUUUUUCGAUAUGGUUUUAACUUCUUUUUAAGUGUAUUGUGUCUCUGAGUGUACAAGACUGUAUCAUUUAAUUUUGUUCACAUGGAUGGUUAUGUUCAAAUGAAUUGUGUCUGAUUACAUGGCUUCCUUAUUGAAUAUUUUUUUGACAUGCUGUGCCUGAAUUUGUAUAGAAGACUUGUAUAUCA
rnacentral:lncRNA from 1 species